GGGUCAAUGAUGAGAUCUCAUAUUGUCUCGAAGAGAGAUGAUGACUUAAAAAAAUCAUGCUCAAUAGGAUUAUGCGUAGGUCC
ensembl:snoRNA SNORD115 Small nucleolar RNA SNORD115